rnacentral:rRNA from 1 species
UACGGGGGGGGCAAGCGUUGUUCGGAAUUACUGGGCGUAAAGGGUGCGUAGGCGGUCCGCUAAGUUGGAUGUGAAAACUCUGGGCUUAACCCAGAGCCUGCAUUCAAAACUGACGGGCUAGAGUUCUGGAGGGGGUAGCGGAAUUCCUGGUGUAGCGGUGAAAUGCGUAGAUAUCAGGAGGAACACCGGUGGCGAAGGCGGCUACCUGGACAGAAACUGACACUGAGAGACGAAAGCUAGGGGAGCGAAUGGG